UGGGGAAUUUUGGACAAUGGGCGAAAGCCUCAUCCAGCAAUGCCGCGUGUGUGAAGAAGGCCUUCGGGUUGUAAAGCACUUUUGUCCGGAAAGAAAUCCUUGGCUCUAAUACAGUCGGGGGAUGACGGUACCGGAAGAAUAAGCACCGGCUAACUACGUGCCAGCAGCCGCGGUAAUACGUAGGGUGCAAGCGUUAAUCGGAAUUACUGGGCGUAAAGCGUGCGCAGGCGGUUUGCUAAGACCGAUGUGAAAUCCCCGGGCUCAACCUGGGAACUGCAUUGGUGACUGGCAGGCUAGAGUAUGGCAGAGGGGGGUAGAAUUCCACGUGUAGCAGUGAAAUGCGUAGAGAUGUGGAGGAAUACCGAUGGCGAAGGCAGCCCCCUGGGCCAAUACUGACGCUCAUGCACGAAAGCGUGGGGAGCAAACAGGAUUAGAUACCCUGGUAGUCCACGCCCUAAAACGAUGUCAACUAGUUGUUGGGGAUUCAUUUCCUUAGUAACGUAGCUAACGCGUGAAGUUGACCGCCUGGGGAGUACGGUCGCAAGAUUAAAACUCAAAUGAAUUGACGGGGUCAUAGCUGUUUCCU
rnacentral:rRNA from 1 species